UGGGGAAUAUUGCACAAUGGGGGAAACCCUGAUGCAGCGACGCCGCGUGAACGAAGAAGGUAUUCGUAUCGUAAAGUUCUGUCCUAUGGGAAGAUAAUGACAGUACCAUAGAAGAAAGCUCCGGCUAAAUACGUGCCAGCAGCCGCGGUAAUACGUAUGGAGCGAGCGUUGUCCGGAAUUAUUGGGCGUAAAGGGUACACAGGCGGUUUAAUAAGUCGAAUGUUAAAGAUCGGGGCUCAACCCCGUAAAGCAUUGGAAACUGAUAAACUUGAGUAGUGGAGAGGAAAGUGGAAUUCCUAGUGUAGUGGUGAAAUACGUAGAUAUUAGGAGGAAUACCAGUAGCGAAGGCGACUUUCUGGACACAAACUGACGCGGAGGUACGAAAGCGUGGGGAGCAAACAGG
rnacentral:rRNA from 1 species